GAGUUUGAUCAUGGCUCAGAUUGAACGCUGGCGGCAGGCUUAACACAUGCAAGUCGAACGGUAGCAGGAGAAAGCUUGCUUUCUUGCUGACGAGUGGCGGACGGGUGAGUAAUGCUUGGGAAUCUGGCUUAUGGAGGGGGAUAACUACUGGAAACGGUAGCUAAUACCGCGUAAUAUCGAGAGAUUAAAGACUGGGACCUACGGGCCAGUUGCCAUAAGAUGAGCCCAAGUGGGAUUAGGUAGUUGGUGGGGUAAAGGCCUACCAAGCCCGCGAUCUCUAGCUGGUCUGAGAGGAUGACCAGCCACACUGGAACUGAGACACGGUCCAGACUCCUACGGGAGGCAGCAGUGGGGAAUAUUGCACAAUGGGGGGAACCCUGAUGCAGCCAUGCCGCGUGAAUGAAGAAGGCCUUCGGGUUGUAAAGUUCUUUCGGUGGUGAGGAAGGUAUCAACUUUAAUAGAGUUGGUAAUUGACGU
rnacentral:rRNA from 1 species